CCUACGGGGGGCUGCAGUGGGGAAUAUUGGACAAUGGGCGAAAGCCUGAUCCAGCCAUGCCGCGUGUGUGAAGAAGGCCUUCGGGUUGUAAAGCACUUUCAGUGGGGAAGAAAGCCUUGGGGCUAAUACCCUCGAGGAAGGACAUCACCCACAGAAGAAGCACCGGCUAACUCCGUGCCAGCAGCCGCGGUAAUACGGAGGGUGCGAGCGUUAAUCGGAAUUACUGGGCGUAAAGCGCGCGUAGGCGGUCUGAUAAGCCGGUUGUGAAAGCCCCGGGCUCAACCUGGGAACGGCAUCCGGAACUGUCAGGCUAGAGUGCAGGAGAGGAAGGUAGAAUUCCCGGUGUAGCGGUGAAAUGCGUAGAGAUCGGGAGGAAUACCAGUGGCGAAGGCGGCCUCCUGGACUGACACUGACGCUGAGGUGCGAAAGCGUGGGUAGCAAACAGGAUUAGAUACCCUGGUAGUC
rnacentral:rRNA from 1 species